GAACAUGGUGGGUCCUCACAUGGGCCCCAAAUCAAGUCUCAAGAACGAAGCCUGAAAUGUUGGAAUUUCGGUGACAGCUGUUUCUCACUGGGCAACUUUAUGAUCCAGGGUAACAGCAGAGAGGGACUUACUUAAAAAUAAGGAUCCUUCUGUGCCUAGCAGAGAAGGCCAACUAGUAUCCAGAGAAAACACUGGGAAAAACUUUGUGGUAUUCAGUGGGUUACAAGAUUGCCAUCUGCAUAUAUGAUUUUCCUCUUCCAUCUGUAGGUGCCCAAAGGAGAGAGAGAAUAAACUUGAACAUUCUGACUUUGAAGAACAUGACCAGGCUAGCCCAGGAGAAAGAUGGAGCACAUAUGGA
rnacentral:lncRNA from 10 species